AAGGGAGUCGUAAAGUGGUCUGGAUAGAUUCAACUUGUCGAACGUCGGCCGACGAUCAGAUGCCGACCGCACUGACUCUGUCGUCUGUCGUCGUCGAUAGGCGCACUUCUUUCCAGACAGCGUCACGACCGAUUCAGGCCUGGUCAAAAGCUCGGCUGGAAGGUGACUCCGUCCCCUGUCGGAGAGUUAUAGACUGCCGAAGCGUCGUCUAGGCUUGGAUCGAGGAAUGGCCGUACCAGCUUAAGCACGAACCUUCGCCCUGCGUUCGUCGUCCGACUGGGCUGGACUGUCACAGUGCUGUCCGACUGCGAUGGGUACGGGCGAAUGCGCUUUCGGGUACACAAGGUCAGUGGCGAGUGGUCGGCAAUCCCUUCGACCCGUCUUGAAACACGGACCAAGGAGUGUAGCACGUAUGCAAGUCGUAGGGCUCUACGAAACCCGAAGGCGUAAUGAAAGUAAAGGUCGGCUUCCGUCGGCUAAGGCGAGAUCUAGCGCCCCGCGUCGCUAGCGCAUCGCCGGCCCGUCUUGCUCUCGUAGACGAGGCGGAGCACGAGCAUACACGCUGCGACCCGAAAGAUGGUGAACUAUGCUUGAGUAGG
rnacentral:rRNA from 1 species